UUGUCCGUAAGGAUGAACCUGCGGAAGGAUCAUUAAUGAGUUUGCGCGGUCGCUGCUGGAUUCUUACAAGUGCACACCGUGUCUUUCUUAUCCACCCCACUGUGCAUCCCGGUACGCUCUCGAGCGUAGUCCUUUUACACAAAACCAUUGUAAUUGAAUUAGAACGUGCGCGAUAAUAAAUAGUACAACUAUCAACAACGGAUCUCUUGGCAUCCCACUCGAUGAAGAACGCAGCGAAUUGCGAUAAGUAAUGUGAAUUGCAGAAUUCAGUGAAUCAUCGAAUCUUUGAACACACCUUGCACCCUCUGGUAUUCCGGAGGGUAUGCCCGGUUGAGUAUUAUGAUCAACUCAAGCCUUUGGUUUUCUAAUUGCAAAGGUCGGAUGCUCGGCGAAGCCGUCUGUAGGGACGGUGGUAGCUGAAGUUCGACUUGGAAUUCCUAAUGGCAUUGGACUUGAGCGUGUGUCGGUCUCUAAUCAGAGAUCGGCUCGCUUGAAAUGCAUUAGCUGGCGACCCGCCUUACGGUUCCACUCGACGUAGUAAGUCUUAUUCGUUGAGGACACUUUCCAUUCGAAGGUGGCCGUUCGGUGUUGGUAUUAGAAGCCGCUUCUAAUCGUCUUAGGACACGAUUUGAACGUUUAAUCUCAACUCGGGUAGGACUACCGCUGAACUUAGCAUAUCAUAGCGAGGGGAAAA
rnacentral:rRNA from 1 species